AACUUACAGUGUAUAUGCCUUUUAACGUGAGCUCAUUUGACCCGAUAUAGCCUCUGAGGCAUUUUUGGACCACAUGGCUCUUCAGCUCCACCCAUUUCACCUGUCCAAGAUCGAGCCCCUGGCCAGACCACUCUGUGAGUCGCCGUGGGGAUAGAAGGGCCCUUUAUUAGAGAUGGCACACAGGGUCCUUCAUAAGGCCCACAUGGGCACUUUAUAACAUCUGACAUAAGCAUUUGACAGUGUGGUUACCAAUGCUUGUGGUUGAUGCAUGGCUGAUGGAGUCCAAUCUUAUGGGGUUGGAAGGCUCGCUCUUUUUUUCUCCCCUCUCCACUGCCCUUCAACCAAGAGAAAGGGAGAAAGAAACAGACAGGGUAAAUGUAAAAGUAAAACAAGGAGAAAGGAGAAAAUCUAAAUCUACUGAUGCUGGACCAUAAACACACAGAAGCAGUUGGAUAAACACCACAAACUUCAUAUAAAAGCUCUGAGGGGGCUUUUGCUCAUAAAAAAGCUACUAAUCAUUGUAAGCCAAUGCUAUAUUAGCAUCAGAGGUGUUGGCUGACUUUAAUAAUGUGUUAUGAAAAGCAAUUCCCAACGAUGUGGGUGUUUUCUGAUCCUGUGCCCCUAUCGGCAUCUUUGUUACUACUUUCCAGAAAGACAACUGACGGCCAUCCA